rnacentral:lncRNA from 1 species
GUGGUCCGCGCCCCGCAGGCCUCUUAUCCGCGGCCACGCCCGCGCCACUGGGCGACGUAACAGAGGCCUGGCCGCCGACGUAACCCAUUCAUCCGUUCGUUGGCUCAUUCAACGUUACUGCAUUGCGCGCGGUCUGGGCUGGCGGUGGGCAAAAGACAGGUCAAAUUGAUCGCAGGCUCUUUCCUCAAAGGGAAGCGAAACACCGAAACUCCCAAGUAGGGUCUCGAAAGUUUUCCAGUAAAACUCUAGCCAGAAUUUUGGUGCCAAAAUUUUGCAUAAGUCGAGCCUUUUCGAUACACCCCUUAGUCCUAGGAAAGCUAAAAGAAAAGGAUUUGGAGAGAGUUUGGGGCGGGGAAGAAUGGUUUCUGAAUGCCUGGCCCUAGCGGUUGACUUGCCGAUUGGAUCGCUGGAGGAAUGACCUAGGAGAGGAUUAGAGAGUAAUCCCUAAAAGAAGGAUUACCCUUAGAGUGCCGCGGUGCUAAAGGAUUAAAGUGAGGGUACCCAAAAAUCGGAUUGUUGGGAAACCAUUUCGUAACACCCUGAUGAUUGAUUGCUUGCUCUGUGAUGGACUUUAUGCGGUAUUAUUUCACUUUCACAUCAUAGCGACCUUAAGGUGCUUCCUCCACUUUACAAAUGAGGCUCGGAGACAUUCACUUUUCCCAAGGUUGUGUGGAAAGUUUUGUUCCGAGGCAGAUCUACCAAAACAUGGACCCGUUAACUACUUAGCUAUGGAGUUUACUCGCCCAGUAGCACAGACAGUAGACGGUGACUAAAAAAGUGCCCGGUGCUGUGUUAGUGGAUGAGGUUACAAAGAGGCUGACCCUGCCUUCCAAGAACUAAAGAGUACAGUGGAGAAUAGCGACAAGUCAACAAUUACAAUUGAGUGCGUUAAGGGCCAUAGUAGAGGUUCCUUCAAGAUGUUAUUUGAACACAGAGAGGCAUUAAUUGCUUCAGAAGUCAGAGAAGGCUCCUCAGAGGAGAAGUGGCAUCCUUAAAGAUGAAGAAGAAUCUAACUGACUUGGUCAGGGGAGCAUGCCAGGCCUAGAAAGCCUGUGAAUUGCACUGAGCUAUAAGAAAAAAAAAAAAAAUUAGUGCAUUAAAGAAUUGAGACUAUGAAUGCAAGAAACCUAGUAAGAAUAAUAAGAGAAAAUGUCAUUAGCGUGAUACUAAAUGAUUACAUGGACUAUCUCAUUUAAUGAUAAAAUGUAUCAGGUAGGCUGUCUUAUUACUGUUGUUUUUUAGAUGAGAAACCAAGCCUCAGAGGCAAUAAUGAGAACUUUGAAUAGCUAGAACUCUGAAAUGAGUAGUUCUGUCAUUAGAAUAAUUGGGGAAAGUAAAUGACAUUGGACAGAGACACUGGGCAGAAUAUUUCAGAGAGGUCCAGGAACCCACCUUGAUAGAAAGGCAGAGUGAAUAUGGGAUUAGAAGGAUUCUAGUCCAGUUAUCUAGUGCAUAAAAAAAUCAGCUUCAAUUUAGUGCUGAAAAGGACAAUAAUCAUUUAUUUAGUACUUGAAUCUGCAAUUUGGGCAGGGCUUGGCAGGGAAGGCACAUCUCUCUACAUGCUGUGUCAGCUUGGGCAGCUUGACUGAACCAGAAGCACUUCCAGGUUGGCUCACAUAGCAGGCAAGUUGGUACGAGCUGUUAGUCCUGCUCCAAGUGGGCCUCUCCCUGGAACAGCCUGGGCUUCCUCACUACCUUGGGUUCCAAGAAUGAGUGUUCUGGCAGGCAGAAGUGAAAGCUGAAUCACCUUUUUUUGACCUAGCCUUGGAAAUCAGGUAGCAUCACUCCCGCCAUAAUCUAUUGGUUGACUUCUCGUCAUAAAAACCCACCCAGUUUGAAAACUAGGGCACACGGCCCCCCUCUCUAGAAAGAAGAGUGGCAACUUCUAGAAACUAGCAGGGUAUACAUAUGAUAGAAAAUACGAUUGUGGCCAACUUUGAGAAACACAAACUGCCACAGGUAUAUUUGUCACAACGUGUUUACAAGCCCCCUGCCUUAGAAUCAUCCACAACACUGGUUAAAAUAGCAUUCCUGGAGCCCAUUUCCAGAGAUGCUAAUUUUCUAGGUCAGUGCUGGGGCCUGGAACUCUGCAUGUAAACAUCACGGGUAAUGUUGAUAGAUCCUAAAAUUUGAGAAGGAAAGAUUUUGAAUAAACAGCAAAAAUGUUGCCAGUGCCUUCUUUUGGCUAUUCUGUAUCAGAAUGGAUAGAAUUGUGGAGGUUAAGAGUGAGAGAGCACUGAAGCCCCACCUAGAUUUGAAAACAAUUUGCUUAACUUGUCUGAUCUUUUGGCCACCUAUAAAGUGUACUUCAUGUGCUUAUUGUGAAAGUUCAAUGAUAUACAAAUAUGUAUAUUAAGUACUUAGAACACUUCAUAACAUAUAGGGCUAUUAUUUUUGUAAUCUUGAUGAGAACCAUGUAUAGUUUUCCAUAGGAAAGCAGAUUUUUUUGUAAAGCACUUUAAGCAACUAGUUCUUUCGUAUUUUGGGCUGUGCUGGGUCUUCACUCUGCAUGCAGCCUUUCUCUAGUUGUGUUGCUUGGGCUUCUCAUUGCCAUGGCUUCUCUUGUUGUUUUGACGUAGGUUCUAGACACAGGCUCAGUAUUUGUGACGCCCUGACUUAGUUGCCCAGCAGCAUGUAGGAUCUUAGUUCUCAAACCAAGGAUCAAACCCGUGUCCAGAUUCCUAACCACUGGACCACCAGGGUAGCCCAGGAAACCAG